AUUGAACGCUGGCGGCAGGCCUAACACAUGCAAGUCGAACGGUAACAGGAAAAAGCUUGCUUCUUUGCUGACGAGUGGCGGACGGGUGAGUAAUGUCUGGGAAACUGCCUGAUGGAGGGGGAUAACUACUGGAAACGGUAGCUAAUACCGCAUAAUGUCGCAAGACCAAAGAGGGGGACCUUCGGGCCUCUUGCCAUCGGAUGUGCCCAGAUGGGAUUAGCUAGUAGGUGGGGUAACGGCUCACCUAGGCGACGAUCCCUAGCUGGUCUGAGAGGAUGACCAGCCACACUGGAACUGAGACACGGUCCAGACUCCUACGGGAGGCAGCAGUGGGGAAUAUUGCACAAUGGGCGCAAGCCUGAUGCAGCUAUGCCGCGUGUAUGAAGAAGGCCUUCGGGUUGUAAAGUACUUUCAGCGGGGAGGAAGGGAGUAAAGUUAAUACCUUUGCUCAUUGACGUUACCCGCAGAAGAAGCACCGGCUAACUCCGUG
rnacentral:rRNA from 1 species